UACGUAGGGUGCAAGCGUUAAUCGGAAUUACUGGGCGUAAAGCGUGCGCAGGCGGUUUUGUAAGUCUGUCGUGAAAGCCCCGGGCUCAACCUGGGAAUUGCGAUGGAGACUGCAAGGCUUGAAUCUGGCAGAGGGGGGUAGAAUUCCACGUGUAGCAGUGAAAUGCGUAGAGAUGUGGAGGAACACCGAUGGCGAAGGCAGGUCUCUGGGUCGAUACUGACGCUCAUGCACGAAAGCGUGGGGAGCAAACAGG
rnacentral:rRNA from 1 species